AUCUUGGUACAGGGGAGGGACUACCACAGUCUCGUCCUGGUUCUCAAGGGAUACAACAGUCAUCUUUUGCCCCUCUCAAGGAUCAUGAAGUUUGCUGUAAUUCAGUUCCUGGAUGAAACGAACGAGCCACAUGCAGUAGUUCUACAAGUAUGUUUCAAAGACGACAUCUGUUAUAUCAGAAAAAAUAACAAAAGUAACAAUUUAGCCAUCGAAUGUACUCCACCAGACAGCACCUGAGAAAGAAGUUGCUUUAAGUUCAUGAAGGGAGCAGACACACCGCCAGUCCUACCGUAUCAGGAGCUUCUAUCGAACCGUGAAAACAUUGGGGUGCCAGCAGACUUUAGAGCUGGACAAGCAUCAUAUUCACCACAGCAGUAUGUGGAGGACACCCUUGGAGGGCCUACAAUGAGACACUUCAACGGGACAAAUUAUGGCCGUAGAUACAGUAUGAAUGACAGCCCUAGCAUCAUGUUCACCAAAGCAGCAUGUGGAUGACAGCCAUGGAGUGUCUUUCUCUGGGGCUGAUGACACCACUCUGCUGUUCGAGGGACGCUUCAAGUGUGGCAACUUGCUGAAAGCAACAAGAGUUGGUGAAUUUGAUUACGAGCUCUCUCUGCGCACCAACUUGUACACCCGGUGGUUCUACUUCCAGGUGAGGAACACCAGCGUGUAGGUGCGUUACCGCUUCAACAUCACCAAACUGCUGAAGGUGACCAGCCUGUAUGAGGAGGGGAAGCUGCCCCUGCUCUACUCUGAGGAGAAGGCCCAUGUCCAGCGGGUGGGCUGGCAUCUUGUGGGUCAACAGGCCUCCUACCAAUGUAACGGGCGCAAGCACACCAACCUGCCCUGCUACACCCUCUUCUGGAUCUUCUGCUUCUCCUACUACCAAGUAAAGAACAUGAGAGAAUGUGCUCCAGCGCGGCUUCCGGGUUGGAUGUGAAAUGUGUGAAAAGAAGCAGUGAGGCUUGGUUGGGUUGUGUUCCGGAGGACGCAUGGCUCUCCACCUUCGCCUCUCCCGUCUUGUUGCAGCGAUGAGACAGGACUGUAACUACUACCAAUUUGAUACCACAACAUUGGGGAGGAAUAAAAAGACUGCAUGUUAUUUCAGCCUGUUUUGGUGGGAUGGAGUUUUAGCCUGCCUGGUGACAUCACCAGGAGGUACAGUAUAUUAGUUAAUAGACCCUAAACACGGUAAGGUACUUAAUUGUUAGCCAGAAAUUAUAUGAUAUUGAGAUAAAACAGCUGCAUUGGACCUUUAAAUUAAUUGUCUUUAUCUUAUUCAAGCAACAUGUCUUAGAAGACAUGUCUUUAAUACCCAAAAAUGUGUAUACAUUUUCCCCUUACAACCAGGAUACCUGCUACCUUUCCCACUGCUACCCCUACACCAACCUGUGGGCUGGCAUCUUGUGGGUCAACACACCCUAGGUUGUGUGAGGAGCGUAAGUUGCUGCUGUACUUUGAUCUCCAUGGACACAUCCGUAAACACAAUGUCUUCACCUACGGCUGCGAGAACCCCCGGCCCGCUGACAGACACCCUGAGAUAGUACAGCACUCCUCCUCAUUGUCUCUGUGUUUUAUCCCCCUCAGUCAAGGCCAGGGCGCAUAUCCACAAAGCAUCUCAGAGUAGGCGUGCUGAUCUAGGAUAAGAUCGUCCCUGUCCAUAUAAUCGUAUACAUUAUGAUCUAAAAGGCAAAACUGAUCCUAGAUCAGCACUUCUACUCUGAGAUGCUUUGUAAAUACCAACCCAGUUGAGAUGAAACAGCCAACAGAAGAUCAGACAGUUAAGCAGUUUGAGAAUUAAUUUUCCUUGAUUUGAACUGCCUAGCUUCUUCUCAUGUUGGCUGCUGGGGUUUCCAAGAUUCAACUAAUCUUAGCAAAAGACUGGUCUCUCAAACAUCUGAUCUUUGUAUGUCCUCCCCACAUGAAAAAAUAUUAUAGCAUACUAUGGUAUAAAUACUAUAGUACUAACUGUAGUGUUUAUG